CUUUGAGGUAAUAUUUGGAUGCUGCCUCUAACUGUGGCCUCUAAAGAACAUUCUGACAAAGCGCAGUCUGAUGCUUUUAUCUUGGAACACAUGGCUUGUAUCCCAGUUACCCUUGCCCCUAAGACCAACGUCAAAUAUAUUAAUGAAACUUCCUUCUGAACAUCUGAAAAAUAUCAAGAAUUUAAAAAAAUGAAGUGUGUGCUUAAGUCUGUUGCGUACAGUUCCAUCCAUGCUCCUACAUUACAGAGGCAGAUUUAUAAGUCUCUAGAAUUCCUACUUAUAUGGAGAGGAAGGGAAGAGGAAGGAGAACACUGUGCAGUAAAGAUCACAUGCAACCUAUUACAUUUGCUAAAGAAUGAUCCAGAUGAAAUGUCUCAUUUUGAAUUCUCUUCCGUGGAAGGCUGCAGGUGCAUGUUCAUAAUUUGA
rnacentral:lncRNA from 1 species